UGCCUACUAGCUAGCCUAUUAAAUAAAAACAACAACCCAUUAUUAAUAACCCCCCACACACUUAAACUAAUAAACAAAUCAUUUUUUCACCUUAGUACAGGCGAUAAAAAAG
rnacentral:rRNA from 1 species